GGAGGACCUUUGGGAUCGAAAGACCUUGUGCCUUUAGAGCGGCCGCCUCCUGAUUAGCUAGUUGGUAAGGUAAAGGCUUACCAAGGCAACGAUCAUUAGCUGGUCUGAGAGGACGACCAGCCACACUGGGACUGAGACACGGCCCAGACUCCUACGGGAGGCAGCAGUGGGGAAUUUUGGACAAUGGGCGCAAGCCUGAUCCAGCCAUGCCGCGUGAGUGAAGAAGGCCUUCGGGUUGUAAAGCUCUUUCGGUCGGGAAGAAAUAGUUGUGGCUAAUAUCUUUUUUUAAUGACGGUACCGACAUAAGGAGCACCGGCUAACUACGUGCCAGCAGCCGCGGUAAUACGUAGGGUGCAAGCGUUAAUCGGAAUUAUUGGGCGUAAAGGGUGCGCAGGCGGAUGUAUAAGUCAGAUGUGAAAUCCCCGGGCUUAACCUGGGAAUUGCGUUUGAAACUACAAAGCUAGAAGGG
rnacentral:rRNA from 1 species